UCAGCCAAGCACCCUCCAUGCCCGGCUGAGCCGAAGUGGCCGCCGCCCGCCACUAGAGGCUGCUCCACACCUCAUUAAAUAAACAGAAACCGCAAUUAACGCACGAGAUCCUGGACGGGAAGGCUUUGACCUCCCGCUUCCCACACGCGAGAAAGAUGCGGGACAUCGCCAGGAUCUGAUCCCCGCAAUGAGUUUGUGAUGUGCAGCGGCAGUUCUGCUCAGCACUCCCGGGGCCUUUGCCAGGCAGAGCCCUGCAGAAAACCCAUCUCCACAGGUGCCCCUUGCCCCCUCACGGGGAGGUUCGCAGAGGUUUUAUUUGUGAGUGCUGUGCCAGGCUUCAGACCGUUCCUCUUCCAGCCUUCUCCAUGUUUGUUUGCAUCAUGGGCUCCUUCCUCCCCACACAGCUUUGAAAAGGAAGCCUCACACUUGUCCGUUGCCUUCCCCUUUGCACACACAUCCCUGUGCCUGCGCUCGCUCAGACACACGGGGCUGCGCCGUGCGGCAAAUUGCUUAUACACAUAAAUGGACAAUGAAUGAAGGAGCUGGUUCUGGGGGACAGAGCUUUCUUACUCUGCGGUGCCUUUUGGUCUAUCACAAUCUUGAAGUGGGUAUCCAAUGUCUGGAUAAAUCUGCUGGAAAACAAUAGACAGCCAAUUCCAGUGCCUGGAUGAAGACAAAAACACCCAUCAAAGAAGGACAAAUGCAUGAAGUUCUGCUAAUUCCAAGAUCACCUGAGGGCAAGUUUAGCUGGUGCUGAUGCACACACAGCACCAGGGCUUUGCCAGGUGUCAUCUGCAAUUGGUUGUGAGUAGAAGGUGUUAAAAUGCAAGGGAUAUUUUUUGUGUGGGUGCUGGAGUGAGCUGAGUUUGAUGAGUCAUUGUUGAGUGCACGUUGGAGAAGUCAAUGCAGAGCAGGUGUUAUUGGCAAUUUUGGAGUGAAAGGCAGGAAGUCAAUUGUGGAGACUCCACUACAGCCUACACGGUGUGGAGACACUUUGUACAACAGUAAAAGUGCUAAUACCAAUGAGGACAUUGAUACACACACACAUUGCAAAUGAGCUUCCCCUUUACCAGCACAUUUCAAUUGUGCCCAUUUGCUUUGGUAUUGAAACAGUUACACCAGGCCACUGAA